UACGUAGGGUCCGAGCGUUGUCCGGAAUUAUUGGGCGUAAAGAGCUCGUAGGCGGUUCGGUAAGUCGGGUGUGAAACCUCCAGGCUCAACCUGGAGAGGCCACCUGAUACUGCUGUGACUCGAGUCCGGUAGGGGAGCGUGGAAUUCCUGGUGUAGCGGUGAAAUGCGCAGAUAUCAGGAGGAACACCAGCGGCGAAGGCGGCGCUCUGGGCCGGAAACGACGCUGAGGGAGCGAAAGCGUG
rnacentral:rRNA from 1 species